rnacentral:rRNA from 1 species
AUUGAACGCUGGCGGCAUGCCUUACACAUGCAAGUCGAACGGCAGCACGGGAGCAAUCCUGGUGGCGAGUGGCGAACGGGUGAGUAAUAUAUCGGAACGUGCCCAGUCGUGGGGGAUAACGUAGCGAAAGCUACGCUAAUACCGCAUACGAUCUAUGGAUGAAAGCGGGGGAUCGCAAGACCUCGCGCGAUUGGAGCGGCCGAUAUCAGAUUAGGUAGUUGGUGAGGUAAAGGCUCACCAAGCCGACGAUCUGUAGCUGGUCUGAGAGGACGACCAGCCACACUGGGACUGAGACACGGCCCAGACUCCUACGGGAGGCAGCAGUGGGGAAUUUUUGGACAAUGGGCGCAAGCCUGAUCCAGCAAUGCCGCGUGCAGGAUGAAGGCCUUCGG